rnacentral:rRNA from 1 species
AGUGAACGCUGGCGGUAGGCCUAACACAUGCAAGUCGAACGGCAGCACAGUAAGAGCUUGCUCUUACGGGUGGCGAGUGGCGGACGGGUGAGGAAUACAUCGGAAUCUACUUUUUCGUGGGGGAGAACGUAGGGAAACUUACGCUAAUACCGCAUACGACCUACGGGUGAAAGCAGGGGAUCUUCGGACCUUGCGCGAUUGAAUGAGCCGAUGUCGGAUUAGCUAGUUGGCGGGGUAAAGGCCCACCAAGGCGACGAUCCGUAGCUGGUCUGAGAGGAUGAUCAGCCACACUGGAACUGAGACACGGUCCAGACUCCUACGGGAGGCAGCAGUGGGGAAUAUUGGACAAUGGGCGAAAGCCUGAUCCAGCCAUACCGCGUGGGUGAAGAAGGCCUUCGGGUUGUAAAGCCCUUUUGUUGGGAAAGAAAAGCAGCAGGUUAAUACCCCGCUGUUCUGACGGUACCCAAAGAAUAAGCACCGGCUAACUUCGUG